rnacentral:rRNA from 1 species
CAACCGWAACCCCAGGUCAGGCGGGAUUACCCGCUGAGUU